rnacentral:rRNA from 1 species
GGACUACCGGGGUAUCUAAUCCUGUUUGCUCCCCACGCUUUCGCCCAUCAGCGUCAGUACUGGCCCAGAGUGCCGCCUUCGCCACCGGUGUUCCUCCUGAUAUCUGCGCAUUUCACCGCUACACCAGGAAUUCCGCACUCCCCUACCAGACUCAAGUCAUAGCAGUAUCGGGUGGCGUCUCUGGGUUGAGCCCAGAGUUUUCACACCCGACUUACCAAACCGCCUACGGGCCCUUUACGCCCAAUAAAUCCGGACAACGCUCGCACCCUACGUGUUACCGCGGCGGCUGGCAC